AACAAUGUCACAGGACAGCCGUGUGGCACUUUACCAAAACCCGUCUAAUAAUCAGAGUGCCGUCGGACACGUGGCAGGCCAGCCACGUGCUGGGAGUGGCUGGACCCGCGGGAAGGAAGUGACUCCGGACUCGGCGAAAAGGAAACUGCCGAUGCUUCCAGAUCUCACCGGAGAUGCCGAGGGCAUCGUCCCAGCAAAUAGAGGUCACACAGGCAGCUCCGCCUGGCAGACGGCUGAGAGAGCCCAGCACAGCCGGACACCCGGGCUGGGGCCUGAGCGCACGGACCGAGGGCCCCUGGUGCCCCAGGCCACUUCCCAAGGAGCUGCCCACUGUAAUAACGACUCUCGCUCUUAGAGAAACAGGCGGCGUCUGCGGCACUACUAUUCACUGGACUGGUCGCCGGCGCUUUGCGCACGUCUCGUUACACUUCGCGAUGUCAGAGACCGCGCAGGCGGAGCUCCAGCCUCCCUCAGGGUGCAGAGCCCUCCCCUCCCGCCCUCACUGCAAGAACAAGGCGGACAGACUGAGUUAGCGACUCACUUCGCCCCAGCAGAGAGGGGCCCGAGGCUCGGGACAAACUCCUGAGCCGGCGAGGCGGGCCUGCCGGGGGCCGGGUGGAGCUCCGGUUUCCCCGGGGCAGGCGUGGGCCGCCGCUGGUGAGGGGCUCACGCUCCCGAGACCCGGCCCAGGCCCGUGCGGCUGGGAGAGAGCGAAGGCCGGAGCCUGGGGACCCCCUCCUGCCGGCUCCCCCAGCCCCACGUGCCCUCCCCAGGCGGCACGGGGACUCGCGAGAACACACGGCAUUUCACAGAGUGUUUUAAACAAAAACCACACAGAUCUAAAGGACAACUGUGUGCUCAUCAUUUACAAAGAUGAAAAUGUUGUCACACUGGCCAUUAAAGGCGCCACGAUCCACACGUUCAUGCGAGAGAGGUGAGAGAAGGCAGCGACUGGAAAUGGAGCAAACCAGGCGGGUCCACGGCAGCCCCCCGGCCCAGCACAGCACAGGGCGCUGAGGGGCGCCACCUUCGGGACCCGGCGGUGACCCCACAACCGGUGCCCCCGCAGGGCAGCUCUCGGGCGGGGAGGCUCGGAGGAGGCUGGCUCACCCGGGGUCACGGGGCUGGGCUGCGUGUCACUCGGCAGCCUGCCGUCUGCGCUUCCGUGUGGACGUAAACCCAGAGGCUCUCAGCUGUACGAGGGUUCUGAAGUAAAAUGCGGUUCUUAAACGAUUCACCAGUCCAAUAAAAGACACGUGACGUGG